AACCCAGAGGCGAAAUGAAAGUGAAAGGAGGGCGUCCCGCGGCGGUUUCGGCCGUCGCGGCGGUGCUCUCCGGGGCCGAUCCUCGACUGAGCGACGCCGCCGUGGUCGUCCCACACCAAAGCAGGGCCCUAGCAAGGCGGCGCGGCGGGGUGAGACCCUUUCCCCCGCCCGCCGCCGGUCCUGUGGGCGUGCCGCGGUGCGCUCGCGAGUCCGGCCCGCUUCGGCGGGUCGCCUGUACGCAGGGGGGCGCAGGCCCGGGACUUGCCAUCCGACGCCGUCGCGCGAAUCUGUUGUUGGCCUCGCCGGCUCUGCUUGGGCUCUCGGUUGGCGUGCCGCGUGUCUUUGGGCGGGCUCUGGGUGGGGCGGUUGGGCUCUSGCGGGCUCGCCGCUCUUCCCCCGGGCUCGUCCGGCGCGGUUCCGCCCUCCGAUCCUGCUCUGUCCGGCGUGGCCUAGCGCGCGUGCUGUCGGCAAGUACCAAGAGCAGACAUGUUGGGACCCGAAAGAUGGUGAACUAUGCCUGGCCAGGAUGAAGCCAGAGGAAACUCUGGUGGAGGUCC
rnacentral:rRNA from 1 species